UACGUAGGGUGCAAGCGUUGUCCGGAAUUAUUGGGCGUAAAGAGCUCGUAGGCGGUCUGUUGCGUCGGGAGUGAAAACUCAGGGCUUAACCCUGAGCCUGCUUCCGAUACGGGCAGACUAGAGGUAUGCAGGGGAGAACGGAAUUCCUGGUGUAGCGGUGGAAUGCGCAGAUAUCAGGAGGAACACCGGUGGCGAAGGCGGGUCUCUGGGCAGUAACUGACGCUGAGGAGCGAAAGCGUGGGGAGCGAACAGG
rnacentral:rRNA from 1 species